rnacentral:rRNA from 1 species
GUAGGUGGGCAAGCGUUGUCCGGAAUUAUUGGGCGUGAAGCGCGCGCAGGCGGUCCUUUAAGUCUGAUGUGAAAGCCCACGGCUCAACCGUGGAGGGUCAUUGGAAACUGGGGGACUUGAGUACAGAAGAGGAAAGCGGAAUUCCAAGUGUAGCGGUGAAAUGCGUAGAGAUUUGGAGGAACACCAGUGGCGAAGGCGGCUUUCUGGUCUGUAACUGACGCUGAGGCGCGAAAGCGUGGGGAGCAAACAGGAUUAGAUACCCUGGUAGUCCACGCCGUAAACGAUGAGUGCUAAGUGUUAGGGGGUUUCCGCCCCUUAGUGCUGCAGCUAACGCAUUAAGCACUCCGCCUGGGGAGUACGGCCGCAAGGCUA